GACGAACGCUGGCGGCGUGCUUAACACAUGCAAGUCGAACGCUGAAGCUCAGCUUUUGUUGGGUGGAUGAGUGGCGAACGGGUGAGUGACACGUGAGUAACCUGCCCCCUUCUUUGGGAUAACGCCCGGAAACGGGUGCUAAUACUGGAUAUUCACUGGUCUUCGCAUGGGGGUUGGUGGAAAGGGUUUUUCUGGUGGGGGAUGGGCUCGCGGCCUAUCAGCUUGUUGGUGGGGUGAUGGCCUACCAAGGCUUUGACGGGUAGCCGGCCUGAGAGGGUGACCGGUCACAUUGGGACUGAGAUACGGCCCAGACUCCUACGGGAGGCGGCAGUGGGGAAUAUUGCACAAUGGGCGCAAGCCUGAUGCAGCGACGCCGCGUGAGGGAUGGAGGCCUUCGGGUUGUGAACCUCUUUCGCUCAUGGUCAAGCCGCAACAAUGGUUGUGGUGAGGGUAGUGGGUAAAGAAGCGCCGGCUAACUACGUG
rnacentral:rRNA from 1 species